UCGAAUAAAUAAAGAAAACUAUUAUCGGAGAAAUUCUAAUUAUUAGAAAGUAAUGAUGAUCAAUUCGAGAGAUGUUUGCCCCAUCUUCAGGUUUCCAGAAAAUAAAAUACGAUAACACGAAAAUCAUCAAGAAUAACAGCAGUGAAUCAUCGCGAAAACCCGAAAAACUUAUCUCCAGGUUCAAAAUAUUGAGUGAUAAUCUUUGUUUUACCUUAUUUUAUUCCCUCGACACAACUCAUCGCGGCUCGAAAAAACUAGGAAUGAAGCAUGAACACAAAAUAACCUUGCAAGAAGUGAUCAAAAAGAAACGAAGGACCUGUAGAUAGGAAAAAUAACUCCCGAAAUGGUUAUCGUCCAAUAAUAAAAGAUGGGACAAAACUAGAGGAUCAGGAAUAACACGCAAGUAAAAAUUCCAAAAUUGUCAUGAACCCCGAUGAAAAAGAAAAAAUCAACAAAAUACAUUUUUUUUAGGCACUAACCUACUUAGUGUGAAUAAUUGAAAGGACAAAAUGCUGGAAUACAUCAGGCCGAAGAGUAGAAAGAGUAAUGGCGUGGAUAGAAUCAGCAGGAUUGUCGAAGUUUACAGAAAAACCAAACUGCAACGGGUGCUACAUAGAUCUCUACCACAGACAUCUUCAGAGUUGUGGUAAAACAUGGACGGAACUCCGCAGAACGACCCCAAGGUUCUGAAAGUUGUUGUCACUUCUUUGACGAAUCAACUUCAAGCAACGACGAGAUCUCUAAUUUCCGUCUUAGGAGCAAGUUCAUCCGCGAUUCCCUCUAGAUCGGGUGUACCUUGCCCCAGGAACCUGAAUGUUAUCCCUAGCGCUGUUUUCCAGCAGGGAAAUUCUUUGUUAUCCAGAUUAGUCCAAAACUCCACAUUUUCCUUUAACAUUAACCUACCACAUUCACCUUUUUUCCGAAGAAUUUGAUUCGUUAAAUCAAUAAUUAACUGUGGUUGAAUUGUCGCGAUGCAUUACGUUGCAACUCCAGACAGGGAGAAACGGUCAUACUCAAGUAGGAGAUAACGUGUUCGUACUUUGAAAUUUCCCUUGAUGUAUGGAUGAGUGGGUAACAGAGGUGAGAGACUUGGGCAGUAUUAACCGGUUUACCCACUGAAAUGCAUUUAGCCGGAAAGACAUAUAAACAUUGGUCAAUAUUUGUGAUUUGGGGAUCUUUAAAUUGAUCAAAAAUUGAUGAAUUUAAAUAAGCAAAGUAUGAUCACAUGAAUCAUCCUACGAGCAUCAUCCACAGAUUUAAGGUGUGUAAAAAUACGUAAAUUUAAACAAAAAGAGAAUAAAAAUUCACUCAGACGUUACCUGUCAACACAUUUGAUUCGGUCAUUACUUCGGGAGGGUUUGUUCCGAUGCGUCGUUUCUUCAUCAUAAAUUUUGGAAAGGUUGGAAAUAAAACAAAGAAGUAUUACAAAAGUAGAGGUGAGUAUUUCCGCAAAAGCGGCCCAUUCUUUCGUAAACAGUCCCUAGAAAUGAGGGCUUUCUUCAGUUUUAUGUGGUUCUAAUCAGCGUUAAUUAAUAAACAGCCACAAAAAAUUCUGCUUUAUUCCUAUUUUAUCCGUUUCAAUAUUGUUUCUAACUUUCGUAAUUUUAUGUUUUUAUUCUGAGUAAAUCGAGAUUCUCUUUAUGUAACUGCUUACGUCGUCUUUAUAUUCACCUUAGUGCAACCAAGAAGAAAAGCUAUUUUUGAUUUGGUAGUGUAACCAGAAAUAUGCCCUUCGAAAAACAUAUUAAGAUCAUUGAAUCUGUCUAGUGAAUGUAUGAAGAACACCUACAAGAAGCUGUUAUUACGGACACCCCUGAAAAUGGCUAUACUUUAAAAGUAAACCGUCCACACUCGAAACUCAUUUUGAUACCUAGUCUUUAGUGAUCUCAUCCUUUAAUGAAUUAUACUCACAUUCCUUUGUUAUUACCUACACUAUUUAACCACAUACAAUGUGGUAUUUUUUAAAAGUUCCUCUUUUUUGCUUAUAUUUUUAUAAAUGAAAGUUAAGUAUAUAUGUCCUUGACGUCAGGAUAAGGUAGUUCUCGUAAUUUUUUUGACUAAUUCGUUGUAACUUAAUAGCACAAGACGGUUUUUUCCAUAUAUAUGUAUGUGUCACCAUUCAAUCAGGAUGUGUCAGAAAAAAUUGAAGCUUUGAAUGAGAUUUUAGUUUCGUUGAAGUCUAAAAUUAACUGGUCGAAUCAUCAAGAGAAGCUUCAACUUUUGACGAUAGCUCCUUCAUCGUGGACCACUGCGAAAAUUUCAGAAGAGUUAGGAGUCUCAGUUCAUGCUGUAAAAAUUCUCGCUGUCCUUCCGCCGAAGUGUCCAGCGGACUCCGGUGGAAGAAGGACGCGCGCUGCGCGCUGCCUCGCUCCGUCUCCGUCUAGAUCGUAAGGUUGUAAGGGGUAAAGGGAAGCGUUUAUCACUUGAUCUAGCCUUUAGUUCCGUUUUCGUGUGCUUUGUUCGUUUAUCCUUUGGCUCUUUUCUUUUCUCUGCAGGGUUUUUAAUUGAAUUAGGGUACUAAGUAGGGUUGUAUAGGGAUAUAAUUGUGGGUGUAAUAUAGUAAAUCGUAAGGGUGCAAAUUAUCGUUAUUUUCUUCAGUGUUUCUCUGUUCUGUGGGGCAAAAUUUUCG